CGUCGGCACAAGUCGUGGCAUUCAGCGAACAUCACAAUCUGCAAGGCCUUAAAGCCAACCUUAACUUGCUAGAAGAAAAGCAGGAGGCAGCUCAAGUUCAGAUGGCAGCCUACAGGCAGAAGGUCGCCCGCUAUUACAACUUUCGGGUCAAAAAUAAAGUCUUUAGAGCUGGGGACCUGGUGCUUCGACGAGCCACCGUCUCGCAACCUCAGGAUCGAGGAAAGCUU
rnacentral:lncRNA from 1 species